CUUAAAUGAAUAUCAAUAAAAUAUAAAAAUUUAUAGAAGUUUUCAAUUUUAUCCUUAUUCGAUAAUAAACAAAAUUCAAAGUUUUUGAAUAGUCUGCAUAUAUUCAUUAAAAAUUAUAUAUUUAAUUCAUAGGAGAGAAGGGAGAAAGAGGUGACAGAGGGCCUGAAGGAAUUGGUAGUGAAGGACCAAUGGGAUUAAGAGGUCUUCCAGGUCCUCCAGGACCACCAGGCACAGGAUUUACUGGUCGACCGGGUGAACGGGGGCCACCAGGAAGACAAGGAAUCGCAGGAGUGCGUGGUCCACCCGGACCUCAGGGUCCUCCCGGCUAUUGUGAGCUAUGUAGUUAUCCAGGGUCAGAUCUAUUAAGUGCCAUUCAAAAUCAGGACAGUAAAGGUCCAUAACAAAAGAGCAGAAUCAUAUUGAUCAAAGCUCAGUUCUACACCACUGCCAUUUAAUUUAAAAUAUAACACUGCCGACGGUACAGGAGGAAUAUCUAAUUGCUACCAGAGUAUUUAAAAAGUCACUGAGUCAGCUCCAUUGAUGUAUAUAGACAAUGAUUCAUUAAAAUGUGCCACAAACUCCUCAAGAAAUCAUUGUAAAAUUGUGGCAUAAACUUUAUCCUACUUAAAAGAAAAUUAUUCUUUAUCUUGUUGCUUUCCUUAUACAUAAAUGCGGUAUAAAUUUUAUCUCGAUACAUUUUAUGCCUUAUAGAUUUAAUUAAAAUUAUCAAGAUGUGAAAUAUAUUUAAAAGUAAUUAUUUCAAAAUUAUUAGAAUUCAACUGUGGAAAAAUUAAAAUUUAAAUAAAAAUCACCAGAAAAU
rnacentral:lncRNA from 1 species